GAUGAACGCUGGCGGCGUGCUUAACACAUGCAAGUCGAACGAAGCACUUUAUUUGAUUUCCUUCGGGACUGAUUAUUUUGUGACUGAGUGGCGGACGGGUGAGUAACGCGUGGGUAACCUGCCUUGUACAGGGGGAUAACAGUUGGAAACGGCUGCUAAUACCGCAUAAGCGCACAGCAUCGCAUGAUGCAGUGUGAAAAACUCCGGUGGUAUAAGAUGGACCCGCGUUGGAUUAGCUAGUUGGUGAGGUAACGGCCCACCAAGGCGACGAUCCAUAGCCGACCUGAGAGGGUGACCGGCCACAUUGGGACUGAGACACGGCCCAGACUCCUACGGGAGGCAGCAGUGGGGAAUAUUGCACAAUGGGCGAAAGCCUGAUGCAGCGACGCCGCGUGAGCGAAGAAGUAUUUCGGUAUGUAAAGCUCUAUCAGCAGGGAAGAUAAUGACGGUACCUGACUAAGAAGCACCGGCUAAAUACGUG
rnacentral:rRNA from 1 species